GGCCUUGACAUACUAAGAACUUUCCAGAGAUGGGAUUGGGUGCCUUCGGGAACUUAGAUACAGGUGCUGCAUGGCUGUCGUCAGCUCGUGUCGUGAGAUGUUGGGUUAAGUCCCGNAACGAGCGCAACCCUUUUCCUAUUUGCCAGCGGGUCAUGCCGGGAACUUUAAGGAUACUGCCAGUGACAAACUGGAGGAAGGCGGGGACGACGUCAAGUCAUCAUGGCCCUUACGGCCAGGGCUACACACGUGCUACAAUGGUCGGUACAAAGGGUUGCUACCUCGCGAGAGGAUGCUAAUCUCAAAAAGCCGAUCGUAGUCCGGAUCGCAGUCUGCAACUCGACUGCGUGAAGUCGGAAUCGCUAGUAAUCGCGGAUCAGAAUGCCGCGGUGAAUACGUUCCCGGGCCUUGUACACACCGCCCGUCACACCAUGGGAGUUUGUUGCACCAGAAGUAGGUAGUCUAACCGCAAGGAGGACGCUUACCACGGUGUGGCCGAUGACUGGGGUGAAGUCGUAACAAGGUAGGCGUAGAUGA
rnacentral:rRNA from 1 species